rnacentral:rRNA from 1 species
UACGAAGGGGGCUAGCGUUGUUCGGAUUCAUUGGGCGUAAAGGGUGCGUAGGCGGCGUGGUAAGUCGGAUGUGAAAUCUCGGAGCUUAACUCCGAAACUGCAUUCGAUACUGCCGUGCUUGAGGACUGGAGAGGAGACUGGAAUUUACGGUGUAGCGGUGAAAUGCGUAGAUAUCGUAAGGAAGACCAGUGGCGAAGGCGGGUCUCUGGACAGUUCCUGACGCUGAGGCACGAAGGCCAGGGGAGCAAACGGG